UUAGGUGGCCAUUGCAAUGGGGAUCACCUCUUCCCAUACCGAACAGAGAAGUUAAGCCCAUUAGCGCCGAUGGUACUGCCCCACAAGGUGGGAGAGUAGGUCGCCGCCUCCU
rnacentral:rRNA from 1 species